rnacentral:rRNA from 1 species
AUGAUUCGUGGGACGUCCUGCCGGUGGUGGCGAGUCGAAGGCGUGCUCCCGUCGUGGUUUCCACUUCUUUUCUUGUUCGCCCGAGGCGGACCCCGAUGAAAUCCUACCGCGGUGCUCUUAACCGAGUGUCGAGGUGGGCCGGCACGUUUACUUUGAACAAAUUAGAGUUCUUAAAGCAGGCCUGUUGCGCCUGAAUACUGUGUGCAUGGAAUAAUGGAAUAGGACCUCGGUUCUAUUUUGUUGGUUUUCGGAACCCGAGGUAAUGAUUAAUAGGGACAGGCGGGGGCAUUCGUAUUGCGACGUUAGAGGUGAAAUUCUUGGAUCGUCGCAAGACGGACCGAAGCGAAAGCAUUUGCCAAGUAUGUUUUCAUUAAUCAAGAACGAAAGUUAGAGGUUCGAAGGCGAUCAGAUACCGCCCUAGUUCUAACCAUAAACGAUGCCAGCUAGCGAUCCGCCGAAGUUCCUCCGAUGACUCGGCGGGCAGCUCCCGGGAAACCAAAGCUUUUGGGUUCCGGGGGAAGUAUGGUUGCAAAGCUGAAACUUAAAGGAAUUGACGGAAGG